CAGACACAAAAUGAAAAUCUCUCCUUUGGCUGUGUUGAACUGUGCAUUGUUUGCCCUCACCAUCCAGGUGACAGCAGUUGAAGCAAACUUAUCAACCGUGGCAUAUUAUGCAGAGCUGAUACUUGAUGUAGAAGGAGCUGACAGUAUUUCAUCCGACAUACUAUCUGCAAAUUCCCCACUCAUUCUGACUGAUGCUGCAAAUAAUGUCCUACUAACCAACAUUAGCAUCA